rnacentral:rRNA from 1 species
CACGUAGGGUGCGAGCGUUGUCCGGAAUUAUUGGGCGUAAAGAGCUCGUAGGCGGUGUGUCGCGUCGGCCGUGAAAACCUGCAGCUUAACUAUGGGCGUGCGGUCGAUACGGGCAUCACUGGAGUUCGGCAGGGGAGACUGGAAUUCCUGGUGUAGCGGUGAAAUGCGCAGAUAUCAGGAGGAACACCGGUAGGCGAAGGCGGGUCUCUGGGCCGAUACUGACGCUGAGGAGCGAAAGCGUGGGGAGCGAACAGG